CGAGGACGUGAUGAUGUCCUCACGCGGUCAGCUAGAGGACAUGAACGAGGAAUUCGAGGACACCAUGGUGAUAGAUUUGCCGGCGUCAAGAAACCGGAGAGAAAGAGCUGAACUCAGACCAGACUUUUUUGACUCUACGGCCAUAAUGGAAGAUGAUUCUGGAUUCGGAAUGCAGAUGUUUUGAGAGAGAUUUCAGCCUUUAUGGGGGAUCACAACCAGCAACCUACAAGAAUCUCAUCUUAAAUAUUUAUUUUGUGUUUUAAUAGCAGUUUCACACAACUGUACGCAAGCAUGUGAGCUUCCUCUCUUAGUUUUGUGGUCGGCCAUAAUCCCAUUGUGAGCCUUUCCUGUCA